rnacentral:lncRNA from 1 species
CGAACGACAAAAAAAAUAAAAAAAAAAAAAAAAAAAAGGGUGUGGCCGUAACUGUCGCGGGGGUUGCGGUCAGUAUCGCCCGCGAGGCUUCUUU